rnacentral:misc_RNA from 1 species
GUAUAUUUCAUUUCUAUAGGUACAAAAAGACCUGAUCCAACAUUCUGAACAUGUUUAAAGAGGUUGUGAAAAAAGACAUAGACCUGAAAAUGACAAGGCAAAGCUGACUUUCUCAGAUGGAAAGCACAGCAAUCCCGACUCGAAUGAAAAUUCAUAAAUCUCCAGGGUCUACAAAGUGUGCACAGGUUGGAGAAAUAACAAAGAACAAGCGUGCACAUACCCCCAUGACAAGGGCCAGCAAACAGCUUGCUCAAAGUUUAUUCAAUAAUGAUCCUUCCGCAGGUUCACCUACGGAAA